GCCCGGGUCAUUUUUUAGGCUAAAUUGAUAUUUGCUUUUCUUUUUUUGUGUGUUAUGAGUGUGUCUGACCUCUUUUCUUGUUUUCACGCCUGUGAAUAGGCAUAUUUAAGACCAGCUGUCUUAAGCUCCCCACACAAGAAGGCUGUAUUUGCAGACUGAGACUAAGAAGGAAGAACAGAAGGUCUUUAUCAAAGAUUAAGGUUAAGGCUCCAUGAUGAAGGCACUUACUGUGCCUCUGCUUGUGUGCACCAUGAUGGCUCUUGCCCAAGUUUCUUCUGUCCCUGCAACUGUUCCAGAUUACAGUAGUAUACCCUUGAC